CCCAGACGCCAGCCUAGGGCGGGGUGAGGAGGAGGCUGCACUGGCGCUCGGGUCGCUGCACCGCCCCACAGCCGCGCGCUCUCCGCAGUGACGGCAACCGCAACCUCAGCAGCACCCAGCUCCAUCCUCAGCAGCCUGGCCCGCGCCGCAGCUGCCGGGAACCGAGCGAUUCGGGCUGAGGGCGACGAGCCGAAGACCUGUAGAUGUCCCAGCCGCCUCCCCCCCCCCCCCCCCCACGCCAUUGGCCGAAGCUCAAGAAACAGCGCGUGGGCUAGACGCGGUGUCGCACCGAGGGGGCGAAGAAGGGAACAAGAGAGCGCGGAGCGAGGCAGGCAGGUGUAGGAUUGAAGCCCCCCGAGUCCGCCCAGAGGACUUUGGCAGGACCUGGGGCGGCCAGGGUGGCUUCAAGGGAUUGGAGGGCUCGGACCACUGCAGAUGCGGCGCGUGUGGGCGCGGCGAAAGCGCCCCCUUCUCCCAGGAUCUAAACGGAUAAACGGAAGCGCGAUAGAUCUACCUUUGGUUUGGACUGGCUGAAACACUACGGACUGCAACCUUUUAAAGGAGAACAAAAAGAUGAGGAUCUUGUGCGGACUCCGGGACAAAGCGUCUUGGGCUCAGUGACAAGGGACGCGCGGAACUCUGGCUCCCGCAUUGGAGAGAUCAACGCAGCCCAAGGGCACCCCGCAGGGCCUGCGGACCUCUCAGGCGAGAGGACAGCAGCAGGAGAGUUCCGGAAGGCUGAUUCCCACAGAUCCUGGUGAGGGGCCGCUGCAGCUCAGCCCUGCGGCACGCCCGGUCCGGCUGCACCAGGACUCUACACUCGAGGAAAAAGCUUGGAAACCAAAGGAUGCGGGAGAACAAAGAGCCUUCAGAGGACGUGGCUGUUAUCUCAUUGUCUGUGACUGGGGGAGCUGCGGAGAAAGGCCUCUCUCUCCGUGUUCACAGCGGACCUUGAUUUAAAUGUCCAUACAAUUAAGGCACGCGGUGAAUGCCAAGAAUGGGGCUGUCUGAGCACCUUGGGUCCUCGAGGGCCUGCCACGGAAGGAUCGACCCAGCCCAACGCCCUGGGCAGAUCUCAGCGCUGCAGCUGCGGGCGCCACAGGAGGGGCAGUGAGCUGCUGAAUGCCUCACACCGCAGCCUUUAGGGUGGGGAUGUGUGAGGCUACCGACAAAGAGGGGCUUGUGCAGAUGCAAACAGAAUCUAGAAAAGAAACAGCCCAUUCUGUGACAGAAACACGGAUCUGUGCAAGCGGGUGCUAGGAGGAGUGGGAGAUGGUCUGGGAGCUGUUGGAGCAUGAAGAGUGCGCGUUAGCGUCUGGGACCCUGCCCGUUGUACAAACAAGGUCGACACCUUCCUCCUCCGUAUCUCUUUUUGUCCUGGGCUUUCAGUUUGCCCUUAAACGAAUACUAAUAAUCUGGUACCCAUGCACACGGGCAGACUGCCCCCAGAGCCUGGACUGCAGCUACAUUGAAUUGUUCUGCUUGGGGUUGGUUGGAUAGUCUUUAGAGGAAGCUGUUUGUCACACUUUGGUGGAGAGCUGUGGGCAUUUGACAAGCUUAAGCAGAUCUCUGGGAUGAAGGCAACCAGCAAAUUUGCUCAUGAACAGCGCCCAGACUCCAUCAAAGCUGACAGCUAGCCCACGGCUCCAAGGAGGGCCUCCCAGGGUUCUUAGGACUCUGAAGUUUCAGGCAAAGAUCCAAAACUGCAGCAGAGGCGCAGGACCCCCAAAGGGAGGGCUGCUCCGUUGCUCUUAAAACCGGGACAGAAGGAAAAACAGCAUGUGUACAGGUGGGGGUCUGAGGAAAGUCUGUUUUGAAGCGGGCUGUCCAGGAACGGAAAGGGUUAAGUCUCCCUCAUCCUGAAGCAGCACCUGCUUCCCAAAUCAGCCCUCAGCAGCAGCUGGUGCUGGAGACCCCCGACACAGUUCCAUUCCAUCUCCAUCUCAGUAUUCCCCUCCAACCUGCAGUGGGAGGAUGGUGGCCUGGUGACCGACCUAAACUCAUUAAUUUCCAGGUGGAGAAAAUAGAGGAGCGGCAGGUCCCAGAAGCAGAGGGAGGGAAAGGAGGCCAAGAGCUGGCCUUCCCACCCAGGAAGCAGGCUGUCCUGCCAGAGGCCUGCCUUUGCAAGGCCAAGCCCAUAAAGGAUGUUUAGGAGUUUAAUCUGAUUCUUAACACAGUAAUCAGAGUCUAAAAGAGCAUCCAUUGGAGUUAAUGGAGGACUCUUUUCUCCAAAGCCUCUGCCUCCUAUAGUCUAGUAAAUUAGUAUUCGAGGGUAUCCUGGAUCAGUACCUCUCUGGCCUAGUUCCCUCAUGAGUAUUUAUUAUUUCUUGAGUAUCUACUAUGUGUCCAUCUUUGUGAUUAUCUCAUCUUAACUGCUAAAUUUCGUCACAGAAGGGAGGGAGCGUUAGAGCUAGCUGGAAUAAGGGUGAAUGUACCACACUCCGCCUAGGCUUUCCCAGAACCUUCUCUUCUCUGCAGAAACGAGCCACAGCCUGCUCACUCUUGCAGGAGGAAAGCUGUAGUGCACACAUCAUGAGGACCACAGGGGUUUCGCUGGUUGAGUCCUAUAGAGCAAGCCAGGCUACCAGGAAGGAAGGGAAAGCCUUAGCAAUGGCUGUCCUAAGAGAUGCCAUAGCCAUUGCCUUCAAAAUCUACCUCCCUUGAAAUGAAAACUGACCCUGUCCAGGGACACUCCCACCCUUUAUGAAUAUAUUAUAAGAGAGAAGACAGUGAACUGUACCAUUUUUGGGGGUGUACCCAUUGCCUCCCUCCAUGCCCGAUGAGAUGUUAUUUUGCCUUCAAGCAAUGGCCUAAGCUGCUGAUGGCCCAACCCCUGUACCACAAACUUCGCCAUUAGCAAUCCUCUGCUCAGUAAUUACUUCCCCAUGAUUCCUUCAAAUGUCCCCUCGUCCUUCACUGAUACUUCGUCUUACAUAACCUCCAGAUUCCUCCCCAAGUAAGGUAGAAACCCAAUAUGCUUUUUCUCUGAGAGCUCCAACCGCAGGCACCUUCCAUAAGGCCUGCCUGGGAUCUGCUACAUGAUCUGUGCUGGGAGGGGUGCUUUUUUAUUUAUUGCUUACAGAAACUCUUGUUCCAGAAAGUGUUAGUGUGUGGGAGUGUUAUGGGCCGGCCAGUCUGUGUGAACCAGUGUGAGUAUGUGUCCACCAGGUCUCCUUCCCAGAAGGGGUUUGUAUGACGGACUCUAAUGACCUUCUCAGUCCAGGUAUAAUUGCAAGCUCCCUUUUGUUUUCACCAAAUGAAGAAUCAGAGCCAAGGUCAGCCUGCGCUGCCUCCUUCCUUCCUCUGCAUUUUCUGACCUUUUAUGCCCAUCAGUCAUUAUGCAGAGAAGCCGAAGCCUUCUGCUCUCCCAAGGCGUCUCUUGAAUUUUCAAGAUCCCCUCCCCUGCCUAUUUGCGCCUUCUAAUUACAUAUUAUGGCC